rnacentral:rRNA from 1 species
AUGAACGCUGGCGGCGUGCCUAAGACAUGCAAGUCGAAUGUCCGCAAGGACAUGGCGAACGGGUGAGUAAUACCUAGGAAUGUCCUUCAAGUUGAGCAUAACCAGCCGAAAGGUUGGAUAAUACUCAAUGUGAUAGCAAUAUUAAAGUCGCAAGACGCUUGAAGCGCAGCCUGGGCACCAUCAGCUAGUUGGUAGGGUAAUGGCCUACCAAGGCUAUGACGGUUAGGGGCCCCGAGAGGGGAGACCCCCACACUGGAACUGCGACACGGUCCAGACUCCUACGGGAGGCAGCAGUUUGGAAUUUUGGACAAUGGGCGAAAGCCUGAUCCAGCGACGCCGCGUGGACGAUGAAGGCCUUCGGGUUGUAAAGUCCUUUUGCUCGGGAACAAUUUUUGAGCGUACCGAGAGAAUAAGAGGUUGCUAACUCUGU